UACGAAGGGGGCUAGCGUUGCUCGGAAUCACUGGGCGUAAAGCGCACGUAGGCGGCUUUCUAAGUCAGGGGUGAAAUCCUGGAGCUCAAACUCCAGAACUGCCCUUUGAUACUGGAGAGCUAGAGUCCGGAAGAGGUGAGUGGAACUGCGAGUGUAGAGGUGAAAAUUCGUAGAUAUUCGCAAGAACACCAGUGGCGAAGGCGGAGCACUCCAUGG
rnacentral:rRNA from 1 species